CUGUGGAUGACGCCUGUAUUACCAACAUCACCGCUAUACUAAAAAUUUCUAAUCAUAACAUCAAACAGUUUGUCAAAACAAUGCUAUUUACUACUUUUUAUAUAGGAAUAAAAUUAUUAUUGUACAGACUUAAGUUUAGUCUUUUGGCCCG